rnacentral:misc_RNA from 1 species
GAAGCGCGAAAUGUAGUGUGAAUCGCAGAACAUUGUGAAUCAUCGAAUCUUUGAACGCACAUUGCGCCUCUAGUAACUUGGAGGCAUGCCUGUCUGAGCGUCAUUUAAAACAAUAGACCCACUCGGGUUUGUAUUGGGCGUCGCCUCCUGGCGUAGCCUCAAAGACAUUGGUCUUAUACGCGGACGAGCUCCUUUAGGACAGACCGUGUAGGGACUUUAAAACAUCUGACUUGACCUCAGAUCAGGUAGGACUACCGCCUGAACUUAA